rnacentral:tRNA from 1 species
GUUCCUGUAGCGCAAUGAAUAGCGCGUUGAACUUCCAAUUCAAAGGUCUUGGGUUCGAAUCCCACCUGGAAUG